UCCAAGGUAGCUCAAUGGCAGAGCCGCAGACUGUUAAUCUGUUUGGUGUAGGUUCGACUCCUUCCCUUGGAG
rnacentral:tRNA from 1 species